GGGCUUAGUGGUGGUGUAUUUCAUAUUGGGGCUCUUUUCGGGGUUUGUAAUUUGGCCGUGGGUAGGUAAUUGGCUGGAGCAGGGCGGCAGGGCGCGGCAGCCAAUCAGCGCGCGGCUUCUAUAGGGCUUGAGUUAUUAGACGCUGAUCUCAAAACAUCCUUCAUCAGACACCAAGGAGAGGCCAACAGAUGAGGGGAGCCAUUUUUCUGCAAUGGAAUUAAAUGGCCAAGUGGGUUUUUCCUUUGUUGCAAAUGGGGAAUGUUUUUCCUUUGACUCCACCAUCCAGUUCAGGACGCCUCAGUGUUCUGUUUAACAUUUGUCAACAGGCUAAAGGACUCACAAUUGGAAGAAUGAAGAAGACUUUUUAAAAAGAUCUGGAUUUUUCCUUAUGACUUGGAAUCCAUCUUUGUCUUGUAUAACUAGGUCAUAGCACACCAUUAAUGUCAGCAGUUAACAAUUUUGAAUUCCAAAAAACCUAAAGCAGUAAACAGUCCUCAGCGAAGCCGCCUUUUGCCAACCCAACCCUGGAAAGUUUGCAGAAGUGGAAGGAGCAGAAAAUGCCAUGAGAGUGUAACUUUAAAAAGCUUGAUCUUCCAGACUCCAUGGCACCGGGCUGAGCGGGUAAGUAA